AACUCUUUUCUUUCCAAUACUCUUACUUGCUAUCUCCAAGAAGCAACAGUGUUAAUGUUUGUGAAUGAGAAAACUGAAUCUCUGUGGCUCUAUAUCGAUUCUCAGGAGGUUGAAUAAUAUAAAGAAAGACAAACCCAACCUUGUUUCCAAUGGGAAAAAAUAACAGCAAUGCCAAAAAUUAGGAGGGGUCCAGGAGCAUCUCAAGAUGGACACACACCAGAAAGAACCCACAAGCUGACAGGACUCCACUCAGCUCAGUAUGACUUCCUGUUAUCCCUUUUGGUCACCUGAACUCAACAUACUAUAAAGGGUGAACAGAAAAGGCGAAAGGGCAAUAAGGAAAGGGGCUCUGUGGAAACUGUACUCUGCUAACUAGUGAUGAAGCUAUUGAAAAUGUUUAAAACACUUGUUUAUGAGAAACAGCUAUUUUAAAAGAGGUCAACUCUGAUAAACAAGAGACUAAGAACAAUAUUUACUUUGCUGUACACUUUCUUUUCCUUAUUUUAUGUGAAAAAGAACAUUGUUAAAGUAAUGCCAUAUGGAUAGAUUUGAGUCAGUCAUUAAAGAACUGGUGUUUUGGUUGGUUGAUCAUCCAA